rnacentral:rRNA from 1 species
UAAGCAUACCUGUCUGACCGAUAGCGUACCAGUACCGUGAGGGAAAGGUGAAAAGCACCCCGGGAGGGGAGUGAAAGAGUUCCUGAAACCGUGCGCCUACAAUCCGUCGGAGCCUCCUUGUGGGGUGACGGCGUGCCUAUCGAAAAAUGAGUCUGCGAGUCAGUGGCACGUGGCGAGCGUAACCCGUGUGGGGUACGCGUAGCGAAGGCGAGUCUCAAAAGGCGUUUUGAGUCGCGCGCCCUGGACCCGAAGCGGGAUGAUCU